UGCAUAGAACCAGACAUGCUCUACACCUAAUGCAAAAAAAGCCUGCAAAGUUCUCCUCUGCUACAAAGCAACACAAAAAGCCCUCCUAGUCCAUCACCUGUUGCUCAAGGCAUGUAAGAGUAGAAACACAGUGAGCCCCUAGAGCCCACACUGAGAAGCUGAGCACUGAGAAGGGACCAGGAUGUGAGGAACCACAUUAGUGGUCUUUGGCCACUAUUUCUGCUGAGCAAAAAUCAGAAGGCUUGUUCCUUUGUGGUAGAAAUCAGAAAACAAGGAGAAGAAGCACUGCUUUAAUUACAUUUAGAGGUUUCUCCUAGGGAGGCCUUGGGACCAGAGCACCACCACCAUUUUUUCCCCCAUUUUUCUCCUUCCACAAUAUUGCUCAGGAGGCGGGGCUGAAAUGGGUGGCACGGAAGCGGCAGCUCUGACACACAGCUGAAACCAUCAGGGCCAGGGUGGCAUGUGGGACUGUUUUUCCACUGCAACAGAACAAGGCAAGCCAGAGUGGUGACACUGAUCCCAAGUGAGUCCAGCCAAGCCAAGUGGAGCCCAGCAGGGUGGUAGGAAGAGGCAGCAAAGUGGCAGAUCCCAUUCCCACACACAUGCCCAGUGUGGAAGACUGAUGGCAGUGGCAAUGCCAAACAGAGCUCUGCAGGGACAGAGAGACACCCAUCACCAUUGCCACUGCCACCAUCCCUGCUGCAGAGAGGGAGCAGGAAACUGCCACUGCACAGCUGCUCCAGGCAGCACCAGCAGCCCCCAUCUACCAUCAGAACCAUUCUGAGAGAGAGGAGAGGCUUUACAAGGACUACCUCAAGAAGAGGACAUAGAAUGGAGGGAAGGCCUUAGAAAGAAUAAACAACCCUCAUGCUGCCGCUUUUGCAAGGAAUAAAUGUCCAAGUUACUUAAUAUCCAGCCACAAAUCUGUGGAGUCUUGACAGCCAAGAAGCACAGGAACCUGGACACCUUGUUGUGAGAGACUAGAGGAGAUUGCUGGCUCAACACUUUUCAGGGGCUUGUAUGUGGGGAAGGGGGCAGAUCAAGGCUUGCUCUGGUGAGGCCAUGCCCCACUCUGCACGCCCCACACCCCCAAGCCUGUAUCCCAGCCCAGCAGCGGCCGCUGAUCCCUGGCACACCAGAGGCAAUGCUCCACACCUGUGUCUGGAGCCCCUAACCC